rnacentral:lncRNA from 1 species
UGCACCGUUUAUAUGGUGCAUUCUAUGGAGGACUUGGAGAGAGGGGCUCAGGAGGUCAGGCAGCGGCGCACCCGGCACCCGGGGAGGCAGGAGGGGGCCUUCCGGGCCGGCUGGGCAGCUCGGCCAGACUCUGUCUCCGAAUAAAAAGGGCUGGGGGUGUGGCAGGGUGGUGGAGAGCCUGGGGUUCCAUCCCGGGUACCAGGGGGAAAGAUGAAACGCUCUGCAUCCCGACUUGAUCGGAUGUGGGGUGUGCAUGCAUCCAACUACCACGUCGCAGCCCGCCAAUGUGUACAGUUCUUAUGUGGCGACUCAAAGGAACAAGGGAGCCACAUCCAGCCACCAAACCCACCUCAGCAACUGUGGGACAUUGGGCUGCUGACUCGUGCCGGGUUCCCCACCCGUCUAGCCUUACUACCUCACUGGACUCCUGAAAAUUGAGGUGGUGAAAGAACGCCACAGACAUGCUCAGGGGAAGAGGCCGGCCGUGAAAAGCCACAGGUCACAGAGUGCCAUAGAUAGAAGGGCCCAGCAAGGAGGGCAAAGAGCAGGACAUCACAGAAUCGAGUGGUCUGAUGUCAUUGGCUUCUGCCAGCAGCCAUCUGAAUAGAGAGGGGCCUGUGAGUAGAGUCCAGGGCCUCUGUCUGCAGAAAGGAGGCCCUGGUGGGUGCAGAAUGACUCCCUUGCGGGAUCCGAGCAGGGGCUUCCUCAGCCUGUUCAGGUAGACUGGGCCCCUGUGGGUGGGUUGCUUUGAAGCUCCUGGUUUGGGGGAAACUGGCUGAUUGGACGUGCAGUUUGGUGGUGUGGCCGGAUCUCAGGGACCCAAGGCAGGAGCUUAGUGCACAGCCGUGGCCUCUGCAGAUGCGACUUGGGAGGUCAGUCUCCACAGUGGGCUUUCUCCAGCUGUGCGCUGCUGGCAGGGGAUGGGUGAAGGGGACCUGCCCACAGUGGGGUGUGAGCGGGCUCCACCUGUUCGAUGGCAGAGCCACCUCCCUCCUGCCAUGACAAGCAAAAUGUCUGUCACAGUGCAGCUGUCCCUGGUGUGGUGUGUCAGAGCGAGGCCAGGGACCCUGCAGAUGACACAUUGGGAACCGGACCCCGCCCACCCAGCCCUCCGGGGACACUGGUAGGCUGCGCUUGGUGCCCCUGUCCAAUGGUCUGAGUGACCCCUCGUCCCCUCCCCACAGGGCCAGGCCUUGGAAGCCGGCUGCGCCCAGGCGGACUCCAAGUCCCAGGAGGCACCACCGAGGGCUGCGGCCUUGGUGUUGGGCAGGUGGUGCAGCUCCAGCACCGGCCAGGGCAGCACAGCCGUCCCCAAGGCGGGUGCCCACACUGGCAGGUGCGGGCCCUGGGAGUGCCUCUGCUCCACGCAGGGCUGAGUUUUGGCGCCAGAUUUUCAAAAUCCCAGGCCAACGGCUGCUGCUGGUUCCCGGCCCGGAUCGCCUUCCAGGAUCUGAAUUCCGGAGCUCAGAGCUCUGGGAGGCCUGAAUUCCGGCAUCUGGAUCUUGGAGGAGUGGAUCCUGGAUCUGGUGUAGACCCAGGCUUUCACGUGGAAGUCCUAGGUCUUGGGGUUCCAGAAUCUGGAGUCUGGGUCUUGGGGACCCUGAUUUUGGAGCCUGGAACUGUGGAAAGCCGUUCUUGCAUGUGAUUUGAGUUACCUCCCUGGCUGGGUGAGAGGCGCUUAGACACACUGUGUCAGAGCCUUCCCCACCCUGCCCCAGGUGCGAGGGCUUGUCCAGGUGGGAGUGUGCCUGACCACUGACCUGAAGACCAGUCACUGACCCUGACCUUGAAAUGCUGCCCCCCUCGACCCUCAUUGGAUGGAAUUUUCCCCUGAAUUUUUUGUUCCCCAAUAAAAGCUCACUCCCUGGCAAGUUCCCCCCCUCUCGCUGGCCUCUUGUGUAAACCUCGCUACCGCAUCAGGUGGCUGGAGGCAGGAGUGGGAGGAGCCGUCUCUGAGCUGGGCAAAUAAGGUAAGAGAGUCAUGUCUCUUGAAUUUGAACUCACUAGUUUAUUUCUGUGUUUUGAACCUCUAUUAUGAAGCUAGCGUGCUGGUCGCAUGGCUGAUGGAACCUGAAUUCUAGGGGUCUGCAUUUGGGGGGUCCAGAUUCUGGAGCCUAAGUGUCAGAAUGCAGGAACCUGGGUUUGGACCUAUAAUCCCAGGUGCAAUCGGAGGUGGCUGAUGCUGGGCUGGUGAGCCUGGAGGGAAGUGCCCCCUGUGUGGGGUCAGAGAGGCGGAAGAGCGUGACACACAUGAUCAGUAGCCAAGCGUGUGGCAAGCCGGAGGUGGUUCGCGUGAGGAAGAAAGGCAGCGACCACCUUGGGAGUGUGCGACGGGAGCAGGACUUUGAGCAGAAGAGGGGAGAGCCCUAAACAGCGAGGACAGCCACGGGGAGGACAUUAAAGAGGAAACACGCGUGCUGCCGCAUCCGUGUAUCCAUCAGCUGGUGCUGCAUAACAAGCAGCCCCCAAUACACACGCACACACGCGGUGGUCCUGGUCAACAGGGUCAACAGGAAGGGGUGAGUUCAGUGCAAUAAAAUUUUGAGAGGAGAAAACCCAUUUCUACUUAGAGUAAACUGUCCUGUUUAUCACUGUUGCUGGUCUCUGUGCCUCAUUCACACGCUCCCCUGUAUCGUAGCGUGUGUGUAGGAAAAUGAGAGCGUGGGUAGGGCGGGUCCCAGCUGAGGCUCAGGCCCUGGGUAAGGGGGCCGACCCGAGUGGUCAAGGCAGCGCACUCUUAUGUCACCGGCACACGGGUCAGCAGGAGGAGCAGCUUCGCUGGGCCUGGUGGCUCAGGGCUGCCCCCACUGUCCACACCGCCAUGGGACGUGGCUCCUGGCCGGGCACUGGGCUGAGAGCCGCAGCCCUCGGGGGCCUCGCCACCUGAGGAAAGGGUCUGGGGAAGCCCUCGCCGUUUGUCAUCGCAGGGAGACCAACCAAAACCACCCAGAGUUCCCCGUGAGACCAGGCCACCAGCGGGGCCGCGGGCAGCCCCAGAGACUGGACGGCAGGAGGAUCGUGGCUCCGUGAGACCCCGUCUCAAAACAAAAAAAUAGAAAGUGCUGGGACGUGGCUCAGGGUCGGCCCGCCUGGGCUCUGUCCCUGCUAGGGACAGAGAUAAAAACAGACCACGGCAGGGGGCAGCGUGUGGAGUCAGGUCCUCCAGGACACGGCGGGGAGAGGGCGUGUGCACAGGAGUGUCACGUGUGUCUGAGUGCAUUCACAUGUGUGCGUGUGUGGAGGUGCAUGUGGGGGGCACGCAUGUAAAUGCGCGUGUGUGAGGACUGGGUGUGAACACGGGGACUCAUGCGUGCUAGAUAACAGCCACCGCUGAGCUCCACCGCCAGCCCUUUUUGGGUGCAGUUGCCCAGGCUGGCCCUGAACUUGACCCUCCUGCCUCAGCCUCCAGAAUUGCUGGGGUGACAGGUGUGGCCACUACACCUGGCUCCCCUUUCUCUUUUUAUAAAGCCACCAGGAUCCGAUGGGGGCUCCACACCAAUCACCUCAGUGACCUUGUCCAACCCUAAUCACCCCGGGGCCACCUCUGAACACUGUGGUCAGGUUGAAGCGCCUCCCUCCUGAUACCUCAGCAGACUGGACUCCCGCUGUGUUUCAGAGGAUGAACCCGGCUCAGACCCACGGAGUCUGAGGGCAGGGCAGAGCGGAUGUCCCCUCUCCAGUGCCAGGGGCAGGAGGGCUCUCUGGCUCCAGGAGAACCAGCCCUUCCUUCCAUUCUGGCCUUUACCUGGUUGGACCAGGCCCACCACUCAAGGGAGGCCCUCCCCAGUUACCGCGUCACCUGAACCCCUCGCAGACACAUCUGGAACAACGUUGGGCCCAGCUUCUGGGCACCCAUGGCCCAGCUGUGUCAACACACAAAAGGCACCUCCACCGACUCAGGGAGGCUCGCUGGACCCUGCUGGCCACAGGAGCUGUCCUUCCUGCUUCAUCGUCUCCGAGGGAUUUUACAAGUGUGGACUUUGCAAAAUACCAAAGACCAUACAGGAGGUUCCCGCCCAGCCUCCCCAAGGCUGGCCUUUGUCCCCAGCUGCUGGGAGGUGACCUCUAGGCCCCAGGAAUGUCCCUCCUGAUGGGUAUGUCUCUGUUUGCCUGGAGUCUGUGGCCUGGGACAGUCCCAUCUGACAACAGGAGGAACGAGGGUUUGGGCCAGGCUCUCUGGGGACCAGCCUCCAGGCAAGAGCUCAGCCAGGCAGGCCGUGUGGAGGCCAGGCAGGCCGUGUGGAGGCCGGGCCGGGCUUCCCUGCUUGGGAGGACUCCUGGGACAGUGACCAGACGCUCCCCCGUGGGACCCCCCCCCCGGACUUGGCUUGGUGCCUGGCCUUCCUUGGUCAAUUGGAAUUUGUAUCCUGUAGCCACAAUAAAAU